rnacentral:rRNA from 1 species
GACGAACGCUGGCGGCGUGCCUAAUACAUGCAAGUCGAACGCAGUGGGGACGGGUGAGUAACACGUGGGUAACCUCCAAGCAGAGGGGAUAACACUUGGAAACAGGUGCUAAACCGAUACUGAUGGAUGGACCUGCGGUGCAUUAGCUAGCUGGUGGGGUAACGGCUCACCAAGGCCACGAGGCAUAGCCGGUCUGAGAGGAUGGCCGGCCAAACUGGAACUGAGACACUGCCCAGACUCCUACGGGAGGCAGCAGUAGGGAAUCUUCGACAAUGGGCGCAAGUCUGAUCGAGCAAUGCCGCGUGAGUGAAGAAGGUUUUCGGAUCGUAAAGCUCUGUUGUUGGAGAAGCGGUAUCUAAACAGAAAGCCACGGCUAACUACGUGCCAGCAGCCGCGGUAAUAC